GAUGAACGCUGGCGGCGUGCCUAAUACAUGCAAGUCGAGCGAACAGACGAGGAGCUUGCUCCUCUGACGUUAGCGGCGGACGGGUGAGUAACACGUGGAUAACCUACCUAUAAGACUGGGAUAACUUCGGGAAACCGGAGCUAAUACCGGAUAAUAUAUUGAACCGCAUGGUUCAAUAGUGAAAGACGGUUUUGCUGUCACUUAUAGAUGGAUCCGCGCCGCAUUAGCUAGUUGGUAAGGUAACAGCUUACCAAGGCAACGAUGCGUAGCCGACCUGAGAGGGUGAUCGGCCACACUGGAACUGAGACACGGUCUAGACUCCUACGGGAGGCAGCAGUAGGGAAUCUUCCGCAAUGGGCGAAAGCCUGACGGAGCAACGCCGCGUGAGUGAUGAAGGUCUUCGGAUCGUAAAACUCUGUUAUUAGGGAAGAACAAAUGUGUAAGUAACUAUGCACGUCUUGACGGUACCUAAUCAGAAAGCCACGGCUAGCUACGUG
rnacentral:rRNA from 1 species